AUCAUUGUAUUUCUCUUCAAAAGUGUAGCUCUUUGUUUUGGCGGCUGAAUGCUACCAUAGCGUGUGUGGCAAGAUGGCUGCCGGCCGGUUCAUUUUACAUCCAAAAAUUCCUUUGUCUUUUUCUUUCAUACAACGUAUCUGUAUUCCAUUAUUGAAUCUUGCCUGGCCUAUUUUAAUGAAUGUUGCUGGUAUAUUAGUCUAUUUAAAUAUGUGAGCUGAAUAAAUUUUCUAUUAGCGUGCAUUCACCUCACACAUUUGCCCAAUUGAAAACCCGCUAAAAAUGGAAACCCAGGCUGUCAGCACCCCUGAAAAGGAGGUGGAGAAGAAGCCGGUUGAGAAGGAAAUCGUUAAGGAAAAUGACGUAGAAGAGAAAGUGGAGAAAGAGGAGGAAACGAAAAAGGAAACAAAUGGAGAAGCACCAGAGGAAAGCAAAAACGGCGACAGCGCUGACAAAGAAGAGCCAACAACAGAAAACGAAGACUCAUCAGAAGCACCCCUGUCUAAUGGCAGGCGGGGGCAAAAGAGUGCAGCUCUGAUCUCUCAGCUGUGUCUCUGCUUCUCAGGACGUCGAACACUCGAUGUUGGACCCGAGGCUAGACUUUAUCCACGAGGCUAGAGCAUCAGUUCUGUCUGUUUUACCUGUAAUUGAGCAGUCAGCCAAUAUUUAUCAUAAAGCAUUAUUUGACAAAUGACAAAUAAACAACAGAACCGUGUAGUUGACGAUGUGUCUGACAAAUGCGCCAUCAAGAGGAAAUCGGUGGGCGGCGGAGAUGCGACCGACAACCUCGAUGCGACCGAGGAGAAGAAGGCCAAACUGGACGCCGACGAGGCGCCCGCAGUCGCCGAACCCGUCACCAACGGCGUUUAAGCUACCCCACCCUUCUAGCAUUAUUCCCAUAGACUAAGUGUUUACUUUAAAUAAUUUUGUUCAGAAUAGAUUCCGGGUGGAGCUUAGUGGAACAGUAUUAAACAACAUAACACUAGAAUGUUUGCUACAACAUUUUGAUUCGUGACUCCCACUAGCUCUUCACCCCCUCAACAUCUUCUUGUCUCUUCAACCUAUCUGUCGAUUUGUAUAUGUGAACACAGACUGUGUAUAUUUUAUUAGGUUUUCAUCUGCUCAUCAUUCCUUUAACUUUUUCGCAAAUAUUAUACUGUAGUUAAUAUAUAAUCUUGUUCAAAUCUUGUAGCCGUGGUGAAUUACAUUAGGAUUUAAAUACCCACCGUAUUAUAUGAUACACAGUAAUAACAACCACUAAAAUUCAAUUCAACAAAAUUUGCGAAUUUUGUACCUGAUAGUUCUUUUGUGCACAAAUUAGUUACCUGAAAUUGUCUAUUUACAGUUUUCCACAAACGCGAAGCAUAUGAAACGUCUUGCUUAUUAUUUAUAUAUCAAGUGACAUAGCUGUUGAUUCGGCUUUAACGUGCUAAUAAAAAUUAUUGUAACAUUUGGUGCAUUAAUAUAUUGUGUGUUAGAUAUUGCAUAUGUAUCACAAUAUUGAAAUAAACUUGAUGAUAUUGAUUAGAUUUAGGAGAAAAUUGUUCUGAAACAUUUUGAUUGUGUGAUUCACGCUAGCUGCCAGUAAGAGUAUUAUUUCUUUGAUAUUUAUUAAUUUUUUUAUACUCAUGCGGAAAAAUAGAUAUUUUUCUUAUUCUUUUUCUGAAGGAAUUGUUUGCUGUAGCUUUGACAGUUUUGGUUUAAUAUGUAGUGACAAUUGAAGUGUACGGUAUUUUGUAUCUUAAGAGCAAUAAAAGUUGGUUACAAAUA